AUGCAAUGAAGAACACAGACAUUGACGGCCAAUUAUAUGCCAACGUAAGAGCCUUCAAACCCAGUACAAGAGAUGGAGUUGUUGCUUCAGUACAUGUUCAGUGGUGGAAGAGACCCUCUGGAGUUGCUGCAGUGUGUCUGGGGCUGCUGUGUGUUCUCCUACUGGCUGGGAUCAUAGGCCUGUCUGUCUACUAUGGAGUCAUUGGUCAUCACAACUCAACAGAGAGAGACCAGCUACAGACCAGUUACAACAACCUGACUGAAGAGAGAGACCAGCUACAGUCCAAUUACAACAACCUGACUAAAGAGAGAGACCAGCUU